CAAUCCACCUGAAUUGACCAAGUUUGUCAGUGAUGAUCGAUUGCUUAUUUGUGUUUGGUAUCAGUGUAUAGUUCAUGUUUAAUUUCAAUUACUCAACUACUAGAACAGAAGAUAUUUUUGUUCUUCGUUGAUUAUGUUGAACGUUUAGCUAAACAUGUACAUACCUACCACUUAAUAAUUUAUAUAGUUAACAGAAAUCUCCGAUCACAACAUCUGUACUUGUAUAUUAUGUCGAAUGAUGAAAAGGAAAAAAAAAACGGAAAUUUCUGUUUCCGUUUUGAGCUUGUUAACUUGUUUUUACUGUCAGUUUUGACAAAUUAUCUAGUUUUAAGCUGUGUGCUGUAUUUAAGGAGAUUCAACAAUCUCUAACAUGACACUUUCUUAAGGCUUUAUGAAGCUACGUCCAGUAGCCAGGUAGCUCAAAAGAAAUGUUUUGAAGAAUGGUAAAACAAGUUAACGUCAGUAAGCUUAGGUAUUGGAGCGAGAAAGUAACAAUCAAUACCACGCAACAAUAUUGAACCUGACUUUAUGUUUAUAAUUAAUGCACAAAGCACAACAGUUCCACUAGCUAAAGUCGCCAACGGCCAACCAUCUAGUUGAGAAAUAUCAACAAAACUGGUAUUUUGACAGUUCAGAUACAAAUAGUCAUCUUUUGAAUAAUAAAAUCCAACUGGCUAGGUAGUCACUCAAGAUUGUGAGCACACUUUUGUGAGUGAGAUGAGAACUGAGAAAAAGUGACUGAUGUAAGCAAGGUUCUGGCUGGCAAAAUAGAAACUUCCGGCGAGACUUCAAAUAUGGAUUAGGGUGUAGUUAAGAUUUAAGAAUGAAUCAUUUGAAAUUAAACUAUUUUUGACGAGCAUUUUGUGGAGUUAAAAA